ACACAUCAACUCUCAUGGUUUGCCAUGAUGAGCUUGGACUUUGGAGGUUUUGCUGGCCCCUGUUGGUUGGCUCCUCUCAAAUGAAUCAGCUUACCAGUGUUGGUGGCGUCGCAGGUGUGAUAACUGUCUGCGCUUGUGGCCGUUCACCAGGUGACCUUCAGCGAUGGAGGUUUGCUGGAGCUUACAAAUGCCUCUCCUAAGUGAAGGCAGCUUUUUGAAA
rnacentral:misc_RNA from 1 species